rnacentral:rRNA from 1 species
GGGCAUUAGUGGCGAACGGGUGAGUAACACGUGGGCAAUCUGCCCUGCACUCUGGGACAAGCCCUGGAAACGGGGUCUAAUACCGGAUACUGACCCGCUUGGGCAUCCAAGCGGUUCGAAAGCUCCGGCGGUGCAGGAUGAGCCCGCGGCCUAUCAGCUUGUUGGUGAGGUAAUGGCUCACCAAGGCGACGACGGGUAGCCGGCCUGAGAGGGCGACCGGCCACACUGGGACUGAGACACGGCCCAGACUCCUACGGGAGGCAGCAGUGGGGAAUAUUGCACAAUGGGCGAAAGCCUGAUGCAGCGACGCCGCGUGAGGGAUGACGGCCUUCGGGUUGUAAACCUCUUUCAGCAGGGAAGAAGCGAAAGUGACGGUACCUGCAGAAGAAGCGCCGGCUAACUACGUGCCAGCAGCCGCGGUAAUACGUAGGGCGCGAGCGUUGUCCGGAAUUAUUGGGCGUAAAGAGCUCGUAGGCGGCUUGUCACGUCGGUUGUGAAAGCCCGGGGCUUAACCCCGGGUCUGCAGUCGAUACGGGCAGGCUAGAGUUCGGUAGGGGAGAUCGGAAUUCCUGGUGUAGCGGUGAAAUGCGCAGAUAUCAGGAGGAACACCGGUGGCGAAGGCGGAUCUCUGGGCCGAUACUGACGCUGAGGAGCGAAAGCGUGGGGAGCGAACAGGAUUAUAUACCCUGGUAGUCCACGCCGUAAACGGUGGGCACUAGGUGUGGGCGACAUUCCACGUCGUCCGUGCCGCAGCUAACGCAUUAAGUGCCCCGCCUGGGGAGUACGGCCGCAAGGCUAAACCUCA